GGAAUCUUCCGCAAUGGACGAAAGUCUGACGGAGCAACGCCGCGUGAGUGGAGAAGGUUUUCGGAUCGUAAAACUCUGUUGUCAGAGAAGAACAAGUCGGAGAGUAACUGCUCCGGCCUUGACAGUAUCUGACCAGAAAGCCACGGCUAACUACGUGCCAGCAGCCGCGGUAAUACGUAGGUGGCAAGCGUUGUCCGGAUUUAUUGGGCGUAAAGCGAGCGCAGGCGGUUCCUUAAGUCUGAUGUGAAAGCCCACGGCUCAACCGUGGAAGGUCAUUGGAAACUGGGGAACUUGAGUGCAGAAGAGGAGAGUGGAAUUCCAUGUGUAGCGGUGAAAUGCGUAGAUAUAUGGAGGAACGCCAGUGGCGAAGGCGACUCUCUGGUCUGUAACUGACGCUGAGGCUCGAAAGCGUGGGGAGCAAACAGGAUUAGAUACCCGGG
rnacentral:rRNA from 1 species